rnacentral:lncRNA from 1 species
GCACCAAUACAAUAUCUGAAAAUAACAGGGAAAGCACUAGUGGAACAUACUCCACAAGCUCAUGACUACAUCUAAUCUAGAAUAUAAAAGAUAGGCAUCCUCGAAAGAAAGAGGGACUACCAAGUCCGGAUGAAUGCUCCACGUCCGGAUAACUUCAGCGUAGUCUUGUAAGCUCUAGCAUUCACCUGCACCUGCACCUAAACGUAGAGAGUUGUAUGGGAUUAGUACACACUUUUACUAAGUAUGGGUAUAUGCAAGCACACACCAAGGACAUGCAUGAUUAAGAAGAGCUCUCUCCUAAUGAUAUGAGUUAUCAAAAGUCAAGUCAGUGGACUUGCCAAAUCGGAUUAGAAAAGUCAUGCUAAGAGAGUAACAUGCAUCAUCAUACAUAUCAUUUUGCAAACAACACAUAACAUAUUGCACAUAUCUUAUCACAUAGUUCAUAUCAUUCCUUCAUAUGUCAUGAGACCUUGGAAUCAUGGACUUGACAUUAAGGCUUCCCAAAUGAGGGCUCAACAUAUGGGACCUCAACUAGGGAGCCUUCUUUAGCAAACACAGAGUCUGCUUCAUUCAUUCAUACGUACUUCUUUUCAUUUAUUCAUAUACUAGUGUAAACACCAUCUAUACCUAGGAUGUAGUUUAAGACUUUCAUCGGGUUUGAUGUGCAAUGACCAAGAAUAACCUAGUGUCAUUACUUAAGUCUAGCUCACCUCUUGAUUAUCCUAUCUUAACACCUUUGGUAUCGUUCAUUUCAUUAUGUGCAUUAUUUGAUGCUGGCCUUAUUCUUUCUUUGGGAACUUUAACCUUAACCGACAUAAAUCAUGUGAGCAUCAUGAAAUCCAGUGUUUAACCACACAACCGAUAAUAGGUGGAGUCACCAUCCAAAGUGAACCAAAACAUGCUAGCAUAUAUAGGGACUCGAACCCUGCUAGAACCCUAUAUUGGCAGUAUAGGUUCAAAGUCUAGGAGAAAUAAGGAGACCCAUGCCUGUCUGUACGGACAGUCUCAUCUCAUGAGAAUUACAUGAACCUCUGCCUUUCUGAAAGAAGGAAUCGUGACUAAUAGCUAGCCUAUCGGUACUCAGUAUAAAGUUCCAUCACAUUCAUCUCAUACAUCAUAGAAGUUGGCUUCAAACAUGGGGCAUCAUAGCUCAUUAGAUGAUUUCUCAUCUCAUCAUUACGUAUUAAGUGUGAAUUGUCCUUGCACUUACAUAUAGAGUGUGAUUGAGUCUUGCCUCUUAAUUUUUAACAUUAUCUUAGGUGAGUAAUUUUGGUGACUUUAUAUUUGGCGUAGGUACAACUCGUCUCACUUGCACUAGCCUCAUAUUGUGAUGCCACUCUAUUCUUUUUAGCAUCUUUUCAUUUCAUCUUUACUCACCUUUUAUUAUUUGUUCAUCGAAUAAUAUACAUAUGCUCUCUUGGAGUUUACAUUGAGGGAAAUUGAUUCUAGACGUAGAUUUAACUUGUCUUACUUGUACUAGCCUAUCCUCUUGUGGCCACUCUUACUUUGCUUGUUCAUCGUUUAGCAUAAAUAUACUCUCUUAGUCAUUUCAUUUAGUAACAUUGAUUUUAGGCGUAGAUGCAACUUGUCUCACUUGCACUAUCCUAUAGUCAUAAAGUCAUUCUUUUCAUUACAUAUUAACUACGAAUUCAUUCAUAAAACUUUCUUUUGGAGUAUGCUUGAGAUUUGACUUUAUAUCUUCUACACUCCCCUUACGUGAAUGUUUCACACUCUUAGUUAAACCUCCUAGGUUCACAUCAUUUCAUUACAUACAUCUUAGGUUCGCUUACUUUUAAACGUAUGUUGGACUUAUGGAUCCAUAGGUACAAGCCAUGAGAUUUCAUUCAUAAUUCGUCUAAGUGACUCAUACUUACCCAAGAUUAAGUGGAACAAGACUUAUGCAUCUUGUUGGUAUGACAAGAUCUUGAUUUUGAUCCUUAGAGGUAGCAUUCAUUAUUUAUUUGUUCACGUACUACUUAUGUGUCAAUACAGAAUUGGGCAAGAAAACCCGAUUUCGAAUUCCUUGAGUAACACUUAUCAUUAUAUUAAACUUGGUACUUGCAUUUUUCAGAUUUAGGGGACCCUAGGUCGAUCCCCAUCACCCCCAUAAUAUUUUCUUUUUUUUCCCUCCUCUCUUUCUCGUUUAAGGCAAAGAGGUUGUGGGAUCAAUCCCCCCACAAGCUUAUUCUUUUUCUCUUAAUUUUUCUCUAAACUUUCUCACCUAUCCAAGAGGUUGUGGGUUCAAUCCCCACUUACCUCAUUUUAUUUUUCUCUUAACUCUCUCAUCUAUUCAAUAGGUUGGGGGUUCAAUCCCCACUUACCUCAUCUUAUUUUUCUCCUUUGUUUUUCUCGUAAAUCUCUCAUCUAUUCAAGAGGUUGUGGGUUCAAUCCCCACUCACCUCAUUUUAUUUUUCUCCUAACUCUCUCAUCUAUUUAAGAGGUUGUGGGUUCAAUCCCACUCACCACAUUUAUUUUUCCUUCAUUUUUCUCAUGAAAUUUUUAUGUAAUUUGCAUUUGGUGAGGUCUUGGGUUCAAUCCUCAAUGACCUCAUAGUUUUUAAAACUCUUUAAAACAUAGCUAAAUUUUCAAAUUUUUGGCCUAGACCAACAUUUUCAGCAAGCUGGAAAUUUUGUCUCUUUCAAUCCAUCUUUCUCUCAAGUUUUUAUAUUGAUUAUUGGAGUAAUUCGGGUGACAUUUUUCCAACAAGAUUACCCUUAUUUGAACAUCACACUUUUAACAUUUUCAUACACGAAAACACAACAUUUUUAACAUACAAAUUUCAGGCGGCAACAUAGUUAAUUUACAGCACACAUAUGCUUAAACAGUUAACUUAAUACACUUUUCCGGAAUACAUAUUUCAUUCCUUACAUAAUUUCCAAAUACACAUUCAAUACAUAAUCACAACUAGACUUAAAAUUAUCUAUCAGAAUAUAUACCAAGUAAUACUUUGAAUCUUUUAAAUGAUUUAAUGACAGAUGCAUGCAACGGGGACAACCUUAGCUUCUCGAUGGAAUUUAAACUGAACUUAGGGGUCUCUUGGAAAGGACCAAGAGAGAAGAAACCCAUACCUUAAAGUCGUUCAACACUUGUUUCAAUGUUUCCUAUUCCCACAACAUCAUUGCCUCAUCAUCAAAAUCCAAAACUCAAUUCGUCGAGAAGAAUGUUGUUGAUUUUCGUUUUUAGCUUAGAUUUUCGCUUGAGUUUUUGUGUGUAAGUUCUUCA